GAGUUUGAUCCUGGCUCAGAGUGAACGCUGGCGGCAUGGUUAAGACAUGCAAGUCGAACGAGAAGCAGGACUUCGGUCCUGUGGAAAGUGGCGAACGGGUGCGUAACACGUGAGCAACCUGCCCCUAAGUACGGAAUAGCCCACCGAAAGGUGGAUUAAUACCGCAUGUGACCCUUUAUCGCAUGGUAGAGUGGUUAAAGCUUGUAAUGGCGCUUAGGGAUGGGCUCGCGGCCUAUCAGCUUGUUGGUGAGGUAACGGCUCACCAAGGCUAAGACGGGUAGCUGGUCUGAGAGGAUGAUCAGCCACACCGGGACUGAGACACGGCCCGGACACCUACGGGUGGCAGCAGUUUCGAAUCAUUCACAAUGGGCGAAAGCCUGAUGAUGCAAUGCCGCGUGGAGGAUGACGGCCCUAGGGUUGUAAACUCCUGUCAUUAGGGAACAACAAGUAGGUUCAUAGCCUACCCUGAGUUAACCUAAAGAGGAAGAGGUGGCUAACUCCGUGCCAGCAGCCGCGGUAAUACGGAGACCUCGA
rnacentral:rRNA from 1 species